AUCAGGGGUAAACCUGUGGAACUCGAACGAACGAACGGGGAGAUUCAUCGUAUUUCCGUCGGGUCCGCGAUGCGGUCGUGACCGCGAUUGUUGCGUCGUCAUGGCGUUUACGAUCGUGGCGAUCGUGUCGUGUCGGGAUUCGCGGAGUGCGUGCACUUCUCCCUUAGUAAAACACCGCGACCCGUUCGUUAAUAUCGGGAUCGAACCCGUCUACGGUUGACCCGUUCUGGACGUUAAAAAUCUGGAGCGGAGCCGAGACGCGGCGAUCUCGGACGGACGGUAAAAAACGAGGUUUGCUUCCGCCAUUUCGAUGGCGUCCGUAUUUCGUGCCGUGUUGGUCCCGUUCGGACUUCGACGUUACGCGUCGUAGGUUCCGCGCGCGGUUUGCCAGCUCGUUGCUAUGGGAUGUCUCGGACGGGAAGCGUCCCGGUCGGCGGUGGUUUUGUUUCGGGCACUCACAGGACCC
rnacentral:rRNA from 1 species